rnacentral:tRNA from 1 species
AUAUGGUGUAAYAUGGUAGCACUGAGAUUUUUGAAUUCUUUGGAGUAGGUUCGAAUCCUAUUAUUCUAG